rnacentral:tRNA from 1 species
AGUCUUAUAUUCAAUUAUGAUUUUAAAUUGCAAAUUUAAAGGUGGAUUUCCUAAGACUU